rnacentral:rRNA from 1 species
AUUGAACGCUGGCGGCAGGCCUAACACAUGCAAGUCGGGCGGAUGAAGGGAGCUUGCUCCUGGAUUCAGCGGCGGACGGGUGAGCAAUGCCUAGGAAUCUGCCUGGUAGUGGGGGAUAACGUCCGGACACGGGCGCUAAUACCGCAUACGUCCUGAGGGAGAAAGGGGGGGAUCUUCGGACCUCACGUCAUCAGAUGAGUCUAGGUCGGAUUAGCUAGUUGGUGGGGUAAAGGCCUACCAAGGCGACGAUCCGUAACUGGUCUGAGAGGAUGAUCAGUCACACUGGAACUGAGACACGGUCCAGACUCCUACGGGAGGCAGCAGUGGGGAAUAUUGGACAAUGGGCGAAAGCCUGAUCCAGCCAUGCCGCGUGUGUGAAGAAGGUCUUCGGAUUGUAAAGCACUUUAAGUUGGGAGGAAGGGCAGUAAGUUAAUACCUUGCUGUUUUGACGUUACCAACAGAAUAAGCACCGGCUAACUUCGUG